AACGAACGCUGGCGGCAUGCCUAACACAUGCAAGUCGAACGAGACCUUCGGGUCUAGUGGCUCACGGGUGCGUAACGCGUGGGAACCUGCCCUUAGGUUCGGAAUAACUCCCCUAAAUGGGUGCUAAUACCGGAUAAUUUCUUCGGACCAAAGAUUUAUCGCCUUUGGAUGGGCCCGCGUUGGAUUAGCUAGUUGGUAGGGUAAAAGCCUACCAAGGCGACGAUCCAUAGCUGGUCUGAGAGGAUGAUCAGCCACACUGGGACUGAGACACGGCCCAGAAUACUACGGGAGGAAGCAGUGGGGAAUAUUGGACAAUGGGCGAAAGACUGAUCCAGCAAUGCCGCGUGAGUGAUGAAGGCCUUAGGGUUGUAAAGCUCUUUUACCCGGGAUGAUAAUGACAGUACCGGGAGAAUAAGCUCCGGCUAACUCCGUG
rnacentral:rRNA from 1 species